rnacentral:rRNA from 1 species
ACGCCUAACACAUGCAAGUCGAACGAAGUAGCAAUACUUAGUGGCAGACGGGUGAGUAACAUGUAGGUAUCUGCCCUUUGGCCUGGAAUAACACGAGGAAACUUGUGCUAAUACCGGAUAAGUCUUUACGGAGAAAGCUUUAUGCACCAUUGGAUGAGCCUGCACUUGAUUAGUUUGUUGGUGGGGUAAUGGCCUACCAAGACUGUGAUCAAUAGCUGAUUUGAGAGGAUGAUCAGCCACAUUGGGACUGAGACACGGCCCAAACUCCUACGGGAGGCAGCAGUGGGGAAUCUUGCACAAUGGAGGAAACUCUGAUGCAGCGAUGCCGCGUGAGUGAAGAAGGCCCUUGGGUUGUAAAGCUCUUUCGUCGGGGAAGAAAAUGACUGUACCCGAAUAAGAAGGUCCGGCUAACUUCGUGCCAGCAGCCGCGGUAAUACGAAGGGACCUAGCGUAGUUCGGAAUUACUGGGCUUAAAGAGUUCGUAGGUGGUUGAAAAAGUUAGUGGUGAAAUCCCAGAGCUUAACUCUGGAACUGCCAUUAAAACUUUUCAGCUAGAGUAUGAUAGAGGAAAGCAGAAUUUCUAGUGUAGAGGUGAAAUUCGUAGAUAUUAGAAAGAAUACCAAUUGCGAAGGCAGCUUUCUGGAUCAUUACUGACACUGAGGAACGAAAGCAUGGGUAGCGAAGAGGAUUAGAUACCCUCGUAGUCCAUGCCGUAAACGAUGUGUGUUAGACGUUGGAAAUUUAUUUUCAGUGUCGCAGCGAAAGCGAUAAACACACCGCCUGGGGAGUACGACCGCA